UGUGGAUAAGAUCACCGGGCAGCCAUGGAAGAACUUACGGCUUUUGUAUCCAAAUCUUUUGACCAGAAAAGCAAAGAGAGCAGCAGCGGCAGUGGCAGCAGCAACAAGAAGGAGACGAUCACGUACAGGGAAGUUUUGGAGAGUGGGUUGGCUCGCUCUAGGGAGCUUGGAAACUCGGACUCUAACCUGCAGGACAUGACCGAGAGCAGCAACCAUUGCCCGGUGCAUCUUUUCAAAGACCACGUAGAGAGCGACAAGGACAAACUGAAGGAGUUCAGCACGGGCAGGACGGCGGAAGGUAAGAGCCGG